AGAGCUUUUUAUAAUGAUCAUCGAUUAAGCUGUGUCUAUGGUUUCUGUGAGGUGUCACCUUCCAGGAGUGAGUGUGCUUUCAGCAUACACUGUACAUACAGUCAGUAGCCUUGGGCAGGAAGGAGAGAACCAUAUGCGAGGAGGGAAUUUGGGUGAGAAACUGUAUCAGUUGAUCUGGUUUAUGAGCCAUCAUCAUCAGUCCAUGACCCAAGGAAGAGAUCAAAGGGCUCCAUUGUGAGUGUGUUGAAGGACAGGGCUGAGUGUAAUGAGAUCACAUUGGAUGAUGAACUCCAAGAAUCUUCUAUUUGGGUUUCAUCUCCUAGAUGCCUUCCUUAAUCCGUGUUGGUCCAGGCAGGACUCACAUCUCCCUUCUCUGCUGUUCAUCCCUUUUUGUUAGGGUUUGAUUCUUGGACUAGGGUGAACCAUGUAUCCUUAGAGUGGUGGGAAGUAUCAUGGUGAACUUCCAGAAGCAGUGGUCUUCUGUUCAUCGUGAAGAUGCUUGUAAUUUGGUGCUGGGGGUAGUAGCAAUCACUUGAGGGGUAACCCCUGUUGACUGGGAGCUCAUCGUGUUUCUCACUCUGGUCUCAGAAAUGUGGUCAUUCUUUGUAUCUUUCUCCAUUCUUACAGUAUUGAGGUUGUUUGACAUUGAGUCUGGCCAUCUUCUCUCUUCAUCCACAAGUAAAAUGAGUGUGACAGUUACUGAAGCUUCUUCCUCCUGGCAACAGUCUCUGCAGAAUUUUGGGCUUCUAGCAUUCUCUGCCAUGCUUUUUUCUGAGAAAGGGCUAAAAGGAGACUGGAACACCUGGAGUAGGAAGGCGUUUGUUGAUGGUCUCACCCAAACCUCAUUCAAGAGAUUAUUUUCGGGGAAGAAUCUAGAAGCAUGACUGCCUCUGCCAGAAUGAAAAAAGGCAGUUACCAACUGAACAGUUUCCUUCAUGACUGACCACUUGUCAGAUAAUGUGACACAUUCCAAGUGGCAAUGACUGAAAGUUGGAAGGUUCAUCCAGGCUCCUGAUUGUAGACCAUACAGAAAAAAAAGCACCCUCUUUUAGCAGCCUAGACCCAAAUGUUACUUGCAUUUGAACACGAGGCCCAUUGGAAAAUGGUCUUUCUGAUGCUAAGGAAUAGAAGUGGAGUGUUAAGUGAAAGUAGGAGACUUCCAAGUAUUGCUUCCACGGGAAAUACCAAUACAUUGGUGGCCAUACAGUUAAGUAUUCUACCCUCUCUGUAUUUCAGUAUGGACUGUCUCUAAACACCAUCACCUGGUCUAUCUCAUUCCCAUCUAUACUAUUCCAAGGAAUUGACCAUGUUAUUGCUUUGCACAUCAGUAUAGAUUGCAGCAUUUUUCAGGAAUUUCUGUGUUAGCUGAUCUUGCUGUCCAAUAAGAGAGCAAUGGACAAGUAAUAUGUGAUGUCUACACACAACAGAACCAUUUCAGCUGAAGUGAUGAAUUCAGUCAAGGUGAUUGCAGGAGAGUUCUUGUAACUCAUGAUAAUCAUAUUAUACCAUAUGUAUCCAGUCCCAGACAAAUAUCUCCUGACGCUGUCUGUAUAUAUGGAUCCUAGAUUACACAUAUCUCCAUGGUUCCAUUCAUGACUUGGGAGGCAAUGCUGUCAAGCAGAUGUCAAUGUCUAAGAUUUUUGGUGACAGUUAAGGAAUGGGUAGGCCUUGGUCACAAAGUUACUGGCUUACUAUACAAUAUACAGUUUUAAACGAACAUGUUCCAUGAAUAGUACAAUGAGAACUAAUGUUAUUAGGAAGGAUUCAAUACGAGUACAGCAUUGUGUGAAUUGCUUUAUUAUGAAAAAUGUUUCCUGAGCUUUGUUUAAUAAGGAUUAUUCUACGAGACCCUUAGUUUGAAAACAUAAAGAUUAAAAUUAUAAUAUCAAGGUUAGAAGAUAUACAUUUAAAUGUCUUUCUAUUGCGUUUAUGCUGUAAAGUGAAGCACAGUAGUCUCAUGGCAGUGCCCAAAUCUAUAAUGAAAACCACAUACAGAGAGUGAUAAAACCUGAUGCCUCCCAAAGACAUUGAUAUCCAUCAUUCUCUUCUACCGGAAUUUGUCCCUGUGGGGAUCAUUGCAUACAGUUAGUAGGAUCUUUUCAUGGUGGAUUUGUUAACAUUUUCUAGAUGGGUCAGUCUGGACAUAGCCCUUAUUAGAAUGAACAAUUUGGGGCCUACACAAUAGUUGGGGGUUUGAUAUUAUGAAGAAAGGUGCACCAUAAAACUCUAUGGAGAGCGUGAAUACAAUUCCUCAGUAAAAUUCAAAUGCCCCACUUCCUAGAAGUAGAAAAGCAAUCAUAACUUUACCAAAAUGUUCAAAAUACCCAGGAUAGGAUAGGCACACAUCAUAUAAGGUCAGAACUUCCCAGGCAUUGUACUAAGUACAACCUACAAAUGAAACAAGGCAGAUUGUAGGAAAAAAAUGAAUCCAAGUCAAGUUCCAUCUGUAAACACAUCUCUUUGGAUUUUAGGUAUGAUAAAAAAAUGGACCCUGGAGUACACAAGUCCACCUCAUGAAGUCAUGUACUGAAAUGUUGUUAUUUACCUACACAGAAGAGCCUUGAUUGCACUUGGCUUCUUGAAGCAAUCCUUUAGUCCCAGCACUCUUGAGGCAGCGGAGGAGCAGACAGAGGUGGAAGCAGAGGCUGAGAUGGAGGAGGAGACAGAGGGGGAGGCAGGCAGGACUUUUUGAGUUCAGUGAUUGCCUGUUCAAUGUAGCCAGUUCCAGGACAUGCUGGGCUGUGGAGAGAGUCCCUGUCUCAAGAAUCUAAAAGUGAGUUAAUAAGUAAAUGAAUUCUGUUUACAAUAUGUAUCCCUGGAAAAAGAAAUGCCAAAUGCAUAAGAGGCUAAAGUGUGACAAUCUCUGAUACUAUUAGAGCACAGAUUAGUACAAAGUGUUGAAGGCUCAGGAGAUACCAUUUUUCUUCUCUUCCUUCUUUCACAGUGAAUAACAGACCUUCAUGGACUCCAGCAUGUACAUGCUGAGGUGGGUUUAAGGCUUUUAAAGCUACCAUGGCUGAGCUCAGAUAGAUCCUGCUUCCACUUGGUGUUGAGAAUAGUGGGAUUGUGUUCUGUCUUGACUCUGUGACUUGAUGGCUUCAGUUCAUUCGGCUUUCUUGGAGGUGUUUUCUCUAGUUCUCUUGGCCUGGUCUUGCCCAUGAACCCUAGGACUGCUGGGCUUGCAGAGUAUGGCUUUCUGAGCUUUGCCCUCCAUUUGCUGGGCCAUGUUGUCAAUAUCCCCUUCUCAGGCCCCAGCAUCUCUCCCUCCACAAGAUCUUGACACUAGAUUCUAGCCAGAGAAGCUCCAUUAAACAUAUUAGAGCAUUUCUCCUCAUUCUUCCACACCCGGUUUAAGGAUGUGCUGAUGACAUCUUAUCUUUACUGGGCCUGAUCGCUCCUGAAGACCUGGAGCCUUUGCAUUGGGUGACUGUGGGAACCUGGAAUUAGUUUAGAUCAGAGACAGAGUUGAGCAUUUGGGAAGGUGAACUUCUUCCAUCAGUGUAGUCAUGUCUGCAAGUCUAUGCUGGAGGCCAACAUACUGUGCAUGUUCCAGACUCAUCCUGACCACUAAUGUGCUUCCAAAUUAGGCAUUAUCAGAAGCAAGCUUCUGCCCUAGGCUCCCAGCAUCAGUGAAGUGCAAGGGAUGCUGCAUGUUGGGGUGUGCUGAAGGGAGGAGAGAUGGGUCUUGGUUUUUCUCUCGCGCACUCAUAGGCAUCCAGAGGCAUUGACAGAUUUGCUGCCAUCUCAUGCAGGUUGUCAUUCUCUGUUUGUUCCAGGCAUGGAUCUUGUGGCAAUGACAGGAAUUCUGAAGGUUGUGGAUGGGGGCAGUUAAUGACUUGCCACCAUCAACAGGUGGUGUCCUCAUCUGGUAAUCCAGUUGCAGGAGUACAGAGUUCUGCUCUGCAGCAAACAGAGAAUCUGGCUUGAGGUGUGAUUCCCAGGGAAGUCUCCCUUUGCACCACUGAAAAAGAGUCAAGGAAGAAGUCAGUCCAUGGUGGUGUUCUCAUCUGGUAAUCCAGGGUGUAGGAGUAGCAGAGGUCUGUUCUGCAGCUGAGGGAGUCUCUGGCUUGAUGUGUGGUUCCCAGGGAAGUCUCCCUUUGCACCACUGAAAAAGAGUCAAGGAAGAAGUCAGUCUCUGGCUUGGAGCUGGAGGCAAGGCCAGGAAUUCUGAAGGACUGUGAAUAAGGGCAGUUAAUGACCUGUCCCCAUCAACAGGUAGUAUCUUCAUCUGAGUAUCCUGGGUUCAGGCAUUUCAGAAGUCAGGACUCUGCAGCAGACAGAGUGUCUGGCUGAAAGCUAUCUAUCCAAGGGCCCUCUCCCUUUCCACCACUGGAAAAGAGUCAAGGAAGGAGUCAGUGCCUGGUAAGUGAGAUGAGAUGAUCCCCUCCUUUCAGUGGACCUCAGCACUCAGGCCUCUGUAGCAGUGGGCCAGGCAUUCCUAUGAACUCUGCUUGAGUGGCAAGUGUAGCAUCUCUGUUUACAGACACUUAGUAACUACUCAGUUGUUUCUGGUGACCAUGCAAUGUCUUGUUUUCUCAGAUGUUUGUGUGUUCCAUAUCAUUUAUUGGUGUGAGCAUGCAUAGUGGUCAUGGGGAGGUUACAGAAUUCUCUUGGUGUGUGGUCCUUCCUUGCCCUCCUUUUGACUUUGAAACAGUUCCUCUCAGUUAUUUGGAAGUGUGCCAUUAGGCAGUUUGUCUGGCCUAUAAUUUCCAAAACUUACACAACCUGUUGACUUCUUUCAAGUAGUGGCAUUACUCAUGUGCAACAGGAUGUUUGGAUUUUUUGGGUUUUCAGUGUGCAAACCCAGUCCUUCACUCCUGAAAUGCAAGCCGUUUAAGAACCCCAGCUAUCCUCAAGCUCCCAUUUCACAGAUGUGUUAUAAGUGAUAUGAAAAUUACUUGAAGAAAGUGAAAUAGUGUGGCUUGAGUGUGACUUUGUUAUAGAGAACAUGGGUACAUGAUCAUGGACUUGUGUCAACACUGAAGAAUCACAGAGAAAAAGAAAGAGAAUAAGAGAAGAUACAGCAAGAGAGUGAGUAAGUUUGAGAGAGAGAGAGAGAGAGAGAGAGAGAGAGAGAGAGAGAGAGAGAGAGAGAGAGAUUUGCAGUUGUGUUGAUCAGGUAUCCGAUUUCAACUCAGGAAAAAUCAAGUGCUAACCAAAUAUAAAAUUCAUGAUGUCUUCUAGAACCUUGAGCACUAUCGUAGAAAGGAGGUGAUUAUAGUGUGAUGGAGCAUGGCACUGAUUGGCUUAGGCAGUGAUAUGUGUGUCUGUGUUGUGGUAGCUGAUCAUGUUUUAAUGAAGGAUGGAUGUCAGUCCCUAUCAUGCAUGUUUCUUACUUUUGAGAUGGACGUUGGGGAUGGUGAGCCAGAGCCAAGGCUGAGCUCUCAGGACUCCCAUCCUUUCUCCCUGAGGACAUCCACUGCUGAAAGGGCGAGCUGUGUCUGCUUUGAGUGCUGAUCUCAGUCCUCCCUCCUGGCUUUACUCACCUUGAAGACUUGUGUCUGGCAUGUCUUGAGCAGGUGUGGGAUAGUAGAUGGCAGAGGUGGAGAAAAGUGUUUGGACAUUCGUUGGCUGAAUUUCCUUUGACAUCAUCACCAUCUCUGGUUGCAGGACAGAGGCCUGACCCCCAGAGUAGGACACAGA